rnacentral:ncRNA from 2 species
UAAAGAGAGGGCGAUGGAGUCCGCCUGAACCGCCCGAAACGGGCUGAUGACUCCUACCGGGAA